CGUCAGCUCGUGUUGUGAAAUGUUGGGUUAAGUCCCGCAACGAGCGCAACCCUUAUCCUUUGUUGCCAGCGAUUAGGUNCGGGAACUCAAAGGAGACUGCCAGUGAUAAACUGGAGGAAGGUGGGGAUGACGUCAAGUCAUCAUGGCCCUUACGACCAGGGCUACACACGUGCUACAAUGGCGCAUACAAAGAGAAGCGACCUCGCGAGAGCAAGCGGACCUCAUAAAGUGCGUCGUAGUCCGGAUUGGAGUCUGCAACUCGACUCCAUGAAGUCGGAAUCGCUAGUAAUCGUGGAUCAGAAUGCCACGGUGAAUACGUUCCCGGGCCUUGUACACACCGCCCGUCACACCAUGGGAGUGGGUUGCAAAAGAAGUAGGUAGCUUAACCUUCGGGAGGGCGCUUACCACUUUGUGAUUCAUGACUGGGGUGAAGUCGUAACAAGGUAACCGUAGGGGAACCUGCGGUUGGAUCACCUCCUUA
rnacentral:rRNA from 1 species